GGGGGUGCACAGGGUUCGACGGGAGCGGAUCCUACGCAACUUCAGGUCCUAGUUGGCCGAGGCUAGGUAAAAAUCGGCCAAAACUGUACCUGCCGAUAACGUCGGGUACGCUUGGGCUGCCGCUUAAACCGCGGUUCAGCCUGCGCUCCCCGGGUAACGCCUUCUAGCCCGGUCAGAGCGUCAUUUAGAAGGCUAGGGAAUCGGUGAGUCAAGCAGCCUCCGGCCGCUUCCGACAACAUAAGGCGCCUUCGCGGUCAACCCCGUUCCCAGGGGGGUCGCGAAGUAUAACUGGGGACUAAACCUGUAAAUGUUGCGGGGUGAGGCUUUCGGACGCCGGUUCGAUUCCGGCCACCUCCACUG
rnacentral:tmRNA from 1 species